UCCGGCGCCGCUGCCCUCCCGGGUUCUACUGCCCUCAGAAAACUGGGAUCAGUUUUAAUCCUUGUCCUCCUGGGACUUACAACCCCUCCUACGGCCUGAGCCGUGCUGAGAGGUGCCAGCAGUGCCCUGCAGGAAUGUUCUGUGGAGAAUGGGGAUUAUCCUCUCCCAGUGGUCCCUGCUGGCCAGGAUUCUUCUGCACAGCAGGAGCAAGUGUCCCAAACCCCAGUGGAGCC